rnacentral:ncRNA from 2 species
GGUCACGAGUUCCAGCUUUGAGCCCCGGCUUGCUGGGCGGCAACCCUCCAUCGACGGCGGGGUGCUCCGGGUGACGACCGGAUGGCGGGGGGAGUCUCCACCGCCAUAAGCGUCCUUU